AGUGAACGCUGGCGGUAGGCCUAACACAUGCAAGUCGAACGGCAGCACAGUAAGAGCUUGCUCUUACGGGUGGCGAGUGGCGGACGGGUGAGGAAUACAUCGGAAUCUACUUUUUCGUGGGGGAUAACGUAGGGAAACUUACGCUAAUACCGCAUACGACCUACGGGUGAAAGCAGGGGAUAUUCGGACCUUGCGCGAUUGAAUGAGCCGAUGUCGGAUUAGCUAGUUGGCGGGGUAAAGGCCCACCAAGGCGACGAUCCGGAGCUGGUCUGAGAGGAUGAUCAGCCACACUGGAACUGAGACACGGUCCAGACUCCUACGGGAGGCAGCAGUGGGGAAUAUUGGACAAUGGGCGCAAGCCUGAUCCAGCCAUACCGCGUGGGUGAAGAAGGCCUUCGGGUUGUAAAGCCCUUUUGUUGGGAAAGAAAAGCAGCAGGUUAAUACCCCGCUGUUCUGACGGUACCCAAAGAAUAAGCACCGGCUAACUUCGUG
rnacentral:rRNA from 1 species